UCGAGGUGUCUAUACUGACGUGGUGAAC
rnacentral:sRNA from 1 species